rnacentral:tRNA from 1 species
AAGGCAUGCCGGGCAGGAAAAAGCUUCUAACUUUUAUCCUGAAAGGUUCAACUCCUUUCUUGUCUUU